CCUACGGGGGGCUGCAGUGGGGAAUAUUGCACAAUGGGCGCAAGCCUGAUGCAGCCAUGCCGCGUGUGUGAAGAAGGCCUUCGGGUUGUAAAGCACUUUCAGCGGGGAGGAAGGCGUUAAGGUUAAUAACCUUGGCGAUUGACGUUACCCGCAGAAGAAGCACCGGCUAACUCCGUGCCAGCAGCCGCGGUAAUACGGAGGGUGCAAGCGUUAAUCGGAAUUACUGGGCGUAAAGCGCACGCAGGCGGUCUGUCAAGUCGGAUGUGAAAUCCCCGGGCUCAACCUGGGAACUGCAUUCGAAACUGGCAGGCUAGAGUCUUGUAGAGGGGGGUAGAAUUCCAGGUGUAGCGGUGAAAUGCGUAGAGAUCUGGAGGAAUACCGGUGGCGAAGGCGGCCCCCUGGACAAAGACUGACGCUCAGGUGCGAAAGCGUGGGGAGCAGACAGGAUUAGAUACCCCGGUAGUC
rnacentral:rRNA from 1 species